GGGCGUUUGGUCUAGGGGUAUGAUAUUUGUUUUGCAUUGACUUCUCUAAUGCCUACAAAGGGUCCUGGGUUCAAUUCCCAGAACGUCCA